rnacentral:misc_RNA from 1 species
GUUCAACAUGACCUUGAACUCAUUGGUAGUACUAACCCAAUUAACGCACGCCACAAAGCGUAUAUAGACAGACGAAAAUAACAAGAGUGUGAUCUUUGUAAUUCAUAAUUCCCACUGUUACGUAGAGAAAUCACAAAAUAUGAUGAAAUAAGUACAAAGAUGUGAUAUGAAAAUUAAUUUAUUUAUGGUUAAUUGAUUUUUCCUUAGUCAUGCAUAGCAGUAAAUGAAUGACGUUUUUACAACAUUUCAAAAAAAAGUACAAUUAACCCAAUACAAAAUACUCGGUAUACAAACGUAUACAAACUCUUCCAUAAAUAUAAAUAUUUUGUAUGCACUUUUUCUACGUGCCAUAAAAAUAAGUUACAGCACUUCUACGUAGUAAUAAAUAUAUCUUAUACACAAUUAUAACAUGCAAUAAAUGCUUCGUGAUGAAAUAUACAAAAUAAAGUCAACAACAAGUAAUCUUCGCGUAUGUAAAUGAAAUCUCAUCUAAUCACAUGCAUGUACAUGAUAUAUGUACAUGAACAGUACAUAAAAUAUGUACAUGAACAAAUAUGUCAUUUUGGGACGGCAAGGCAGAAUAAACAUGUAUGUAACAUAACUAAGUCUCUGCUUCUAAAGAAAUGUCAGAUAUUAUUCAAACACUAAAAAAUUGUUUUAUUUAAUGCAUGGCAAUGGAAGUCAAUAUGUCUAUGAAUGCUAUUUUUACUGAGAGCAAAUAUUAUUCAAAUUAUGGUUGGAUGUAUGCAAUAAAACUAAAUUAAAAC